rnacentral:rRNA from 1 species
CCUACGGGGGGCAGCAGUGGGGAAUAUUGCACGAUGGGGGAAACCCUGAUGCAGCGACGCCGCGUGAAGGAAGAAGGUUUUCGGAUCGUAAACUUCUAUCAGCAGGGUAGAAGAAAGUGACAGUACCUGACGAAGAAGCCCCGGCUAACUACGUGCCAGCAGCCGCGGUAAUACGUAGGGGGCAAGCGUUAUCCGGCAUCACUGGGUGUAAAGGGUGCGUAGGCGGUAGGGCGAGUCAGAUGUGAAAGCCCGGGGCUCAACCCCGGGACUGCAUUUGAAACUGUCUUACUAGAGUGCAGGAGAGGAAUGCUGAAUUCCUAGAGCUGCGGCGUAAUGCGUUGAUAUUAGGAAGAACACCAGUGGCGAAGGCGGCUUUCUGGACUGUAACUGACGCUGAGGUACGAAAGCGUGGGGGGCGAACAGGAUUAGAUCCCCGAGUAGUC